AGAGUUUGAUCCUGGCUCAGAUUGAACGCUGGCGGCAUGCCUUACACAUGCAAGUCGAACGGCAGCACGGGAGCAAUCCUGGUGGCGAGUGGCGAACGGGUGAGUAAUAUAUCGGAACGUGCCCAGUAGUGGGGGGAUAACUGCUCGAAAGAGCAGCUAAUACCGCAUACGACCUGAGGGUGAAAGGGGGGGAUCGCAAGACCUCUCGCUAUUGGAGCGGCCGAUAUCAGAUUAGCUAGUUGGUGGGGUAAAGGCCUACCAAGGCAACGAUCUGUAGUUGGUCUGAGAGGACGACCAGCCACACUGGGACUGAGACACGGCCCAGACUCCUACGGGAGGCAGCAGUGGGGAAUUUUGGACAAUGGGCGCAAGCCUGAUCCAGCAAUGCCGCGUGCAGGAAGAAGGCCUUCGGGUUGUAAACUGCUUUUGUCAGGGAAGAAAUCCUCUGGGUUAACACCUCGGGGGGAUGACGGUACCUGAAGAAUAAGCACCGGCUAACUACGUG
rnacentral:rRNA from 1 species